CCCGCAGUAGCUCAAUUUGGCAGAGCACCUGACUGUAGUUAGAAAAUCCGAGUGGACAUCAGGGGGUUGCCAGUUCAAAUCUGGCCUGCGGGA
rnacentral:tRNA from 1 species